GUAGGUGGCAAGCGUUGUCCGGAAUUAUUGGGCGUAAAGCGCGCGCAGGCGGUCCUUUAAGUCUGAUGUGAAAGCCCACGGCUCAACCGUGGAGGGUCAUUGGAAACUGGGGGACUUGAGUACAGAAGAGGAAAGCGGAAUUCCAAGUGUAGCGGUGAAAUGCGUAGAGAUUUGGAGGAACACCAGUGGCGAAGGCGGCUUUCUGGUCUGUAACUGACGCUGAGGCGCGAAAGCGUGGGGAGCAAACAGGAUUAGAUACCCUGGUAGUCCACGCCGUAAACGAUGAGUGCUAAGUGUGAGGGGGUUUCCCGCCCCUUAGUGCUGCAGCUAACGCAUUAAGCACUCGCCUGGGGAUACGGCCGCAAGGCUG
rnacentral:rRNA from 1 species